rnacentral:rRNA from 1 species
AGGUACCCGUAACUUGCUCUCGGGUGACGAGCGGCGGACGGGUGAGUAAUGUCUGGGAAACUGCCUGAUGGAGGGGGAUAACUACUGGAAACGGUAGCUAAUACCGCAUAACGUCGCAAGACCAAAGUGGGGGACCUUCGGGCCUCAUGCCAUCAGAUGUGCCCAGAUGGGAUUAGCUGGUAGGUGGGGUAACGGCUCACCUAGGCGACGAUCCCUAGCUGGUCUGAGAGGAUGACCAGCCACACUGGAACUGAGACACGGUCCAGACUCCUACGGGAGGCAGCAGUGGGGAAUAUUGCACAAUGGGCGCAAGCCUGAUGCAGCCAUGCCGCGUGUGUGAAGAAGGCCUUCGGGUUGUAAAGCACUUUCAGCGGGGAGGAAGGCGGUGAGGUUAAUAACCUCAUCGAUUGACGUUACCCGCAGAAGAAGCACCGGCUAACUCCGUGCCAGCAGCCGCGGUAAUACGGAGGGUGCAAGCGUUAAUCGGAAUUACUGGGCGUAAAGCGCACGCAGGCGGUCUGUCAAGUCGGAUGUGAAAUCCCCGGGCUCAACCUGGGAACUGCAUUCGAAACUGGCAGGCUAGAGUCUUGUAGAGGGGGGUAGAAUUCCAGGUGUACCGGUGAAAUGCGUAGAGAUCUGGAGGAAUACCGGUGGCGAAGGCGGCCCCCUGGACAAAGACUGACGCUCAGGUGCGAAAGCGUGGGGAGCAAACAGGAUUAGAUACCCUUGGUAGUCCACGCUGUAAACGAUGUUCGAUUUGGAGGUUGUGUCCUUGAGGCGUGGCUUCCGGAGCUAACGCGUUAAAUC